GAUGAACGCUAGCGGCAGGCCUAAUACAUGCAAGUCGAACGGUAAAUAUUCAGCAAUGGAUAUGAGAGUGACGUACGGGUGCGUAACACGUAUGCAACCUACCCUUUACAGGAGUAUAGCUCGGGGGAAACUCGGAUUAACCCUCCAUAAUAUAAUUGGAUGGCAUCAUUUGAUUAUUAAAUCGCAAGAGGUAAAGGAUGGGCAUGCGUAUGAUUAGUUAGUUGGCGGGGUAAUGGCCCACCAAGACGAUGAUCAUUAGGGGAACUGAGAGGUUGAUCCCCCACACUGGCACUGAGAUACGGGCCAGACUCCUACGGGAGGCAGCAGUAGGGAAUAUUGGUCAAUGGAUGGAAGUCUGAACCAGCCAUGCCGCGUGCAGGAAGAAGGCCUUCUGGGUUGUAAACUGCUUUUGCCAGGGGCUAAAAAGCCCAUGCGUGGGAAAUUGAAAGUACCUGGUGAAUAAGCCACGGCUAACUACGUGCCAGCAGCCGAC
rnacentral:rRNA from 1 species